rnacentral:rRNA from 1 species
GACGAACGCUGGCGGCGUGCUUAACACAUGCAAGUCGAACGGAAAGGCCCUGCUUUUGUGGGGUGCUCGAGUUGCGAACGGGUGAGUAACACUUGAGUAACCUGCCCUUGACUUUGGGAUAACUUCAGGAAACUGGGGCUAAUACCGGAUAGGAGCUCCUGCUGCAUGGUGGGCGUUGGAAAGUUUCGGCGGUUGGGGAUGGACUCGCGGCUUAUCAGCUCGUUGGGUGGGUAGUGGCUUACCAAGACUUGGAGGGGUAGCAGGCCUGGGAGGAGAAGCGGACAAGUUACAACGGGAAUGCGACACAGACUACUACGGGACGCAGCGGUGGAGAAGAGUAUACAAUGGGCGGAAGCCUGAUGCAGCAACGCCGCGUGCGGGAAGACGGCAUUCGGGUAGUAAACCGCUUUCGCCUGUGACGAGGCGUGAGUGACGGUAAUGGGUAAAGAAGCACCGGCUAACUACGUG